AGGUCCUGUCACAUUCAUUAGAAUUCGGAUUAGGCCCAACUCUACUCCAAAAGCUACCUGAGUGUGCUUCUAAAAUUUCAAUUCAAAUUCAGUGUGUGCUGUAACACCCCACUUUUCGUUAUUAGGUUAUUUAUUAUUUUAUCUUAAUUAUUAUUAUGCUAUAUGGUAUUUUGAUAAUUUAUGCGAUUUAAUUAGAUGAAUAUGUGAUUAUGUGAUUUAAUUAGAUGAUAAGGUCAUUAAGUGAUUUUAUUAGAUAAUUAAGUUAUUAUGUGAUAUAGAUAAAUAAGGGUUUUAGGUUUUAAGUGAGUAGUUGGGAGUGGGGCCCAUUGUAAGAUUAUUUAAGGGUUAUGAGAGAAUUAAAAAGAAAGAAAUCAGAAAAUUAGGAUUAGAGAAGCAGCAGAACAAAGAAACACGUGAAAGGUGAAGGAGAGGAGAAAAGGUGGAGAAAACCUAGAAUUUGAUCUUCAAGAAGAAAAGGGUCAAGGAGGCUUUGUACCGGUGUCAUAGAAGGUAUUGGAGGUAGAGAUGUGGCUCAUGAGGAGUAACUUCGGAGAGUCUUAGCUUAUGUUAUUAUUAUUAUUAUUAUAAUAAAAUAAGUGUCUUGCUCUGUAAUGUAACACUGGGUAGAUAUUUUACGUUACUUUUACAUUUAUGUUGAGAGGAUUAAUUAUAACCUCUCCUUAUGGAAGUUGUUGAAUAAUUUUCUAAAUUAUGGCGAUGUCGUACUGUUGAUGGCCGAUGUGCCUAUGAAAUUCAGUUUUGAGUAUGAUAAAUUUUAUUGGAAUAUCAUGGAAGAUAAACCUAUUUAAAUAA